rnacentral:rRNA from 1 species
GGUUAAGCGACUAAGCGUACACGGUGGAUGCCCUGGCAGUCAGAGGCGAUGAAGGACGUGCUAAUCUGCGAUAAGCGUCGGUAAGGUGAUAUGAACCGUUAUAACCGGCGAUUUCCGAAUGGGGAAACCCAGUGUGAUUCGUCACACUAUCAUUAACUGAAUCCAUAGGUUAAUGAGGCGAACCGGGGGAACUGAAACAUCUAAGUACCCCGAGGAAAAGAAAUCAACCGAGAUUCCCCCAGUAGCGGCGAGCGAACGGGGAGCAGCCCAGAGCCUGAAUCAGUGUGUGUGUUAGUGGAAGCGUCUGGAAAGGCGCGCGAUACAGGGUGACAGCCCCGUACACAAAAAUGCACAUGCUGUGAGCUCGAUGAGUAGGGCGGGACACGUGGUAUCCUGUCUGAAUAUGGGGGGACCAUCCUCCAAGGCUAAAUACUCCUGACUGACCGAUAGUGAACCAGUACCGUGAGGGAAAGGCGAAAAGAACCCCGGCGAGGGGAGUGAAAAAGAACCUGAAACCGUGUACGUACAAGCAGUGGGAGCCUCUUUAUGGGGUGACUGCGUACCUUUUGUAUAAUGGGUCAGCGACUUAUAUUCUGUAGCAAGGUUAACCGAAUAGGGGAGCCGAAGGGAAACCGAGUCUUAACUGGGCGUUAAGUUGCAGGGUAUAGACCCGAAACCCGGUGAUCUAGCCAUGGGCAGGUUGAAGGUUGGGUAACACUAACUGGAGGACCGAACCGACUAAUGUUGAAAAAUUAGCGGAUGACUUGUGGCUGGGGGUGAAAGGCCAAUCAAACCGGGAGAUAGCUGGUUCUCCCCGAAAGCUAUUUAGGUAGCGCCUCGUGAAUUCAUCUCCGGGGGUAGAGCACUGUUUCGGCAAGGGGGUCAUCCCGACUUACCAACCCGAUGCAAACUGCGAAUACCGGAGAAUGUUAUCACGGGAGACACACGGCGGGUGCUAACGUCCGUCGUGAAGAGGGAAACAACCCAGACCGCCAGCUAAGGUCCCAAAGUCAUGGUUAAGUGGGAAACGAUGUGGGAAGGCCCAGACAGCCAGGAUGUUGGCUUAGAAGCAGCCAUCAUUUAAAGAAAGCGUAAUAGCUCACUGGUCGAGUCGGCCUGCGCGGAAGAUGUAACGGGGCUAAACCAUGCACCGAAGCUGCGGCAGCGACACUAUGUGUUGUUGGGUAGGGGAGCGUUCUGUAAGCCUGCGAAGGUGUACUGUGAGGUAUGCUGGAGGUAUCAGAAGUGCGAAUGCUGACAUAAGUAACGAUAAAGCGGGUGAAAAGCCCGCUCGCCGGAAGACCAAGGGUUCCUGUCCAACGUUAAUCGGGGCAGGGUGAGUCGACCCCUAAGGCGAGGCCGAAAGGCGUAGUCGAUGGGAAACAGGUUAAUAUUCCUGUACUUGGUGUUACUGCGAAGGGGGGACGGAGAAGGCUAUGUUGGCCGGGCGACGGUUGUCCCGGUUUAAGCGUGUAGGCUGGUUUUCCAGGCAAAUCCGGAAAAUCAAGGCUGAGGCGUGAUGACGAGGCACUACGGUGCUGAAGCAACAAAUGCCCUGCUUCCAGGAAAAGCCUCUAAGCAUCAGGUAACAUCAAAUCGUACCCCAAACCGACACAGGUGGUCAGGUAGAGAAUACCAAGGCGCUUGAGAGAACUCGGGUGAAGGAACUAGGCAAAAUGGUGCCGUAACUUCGGGAGAAGGCACGCUGAUAUGUAGGUGAAGUCCCUUGCGGAUGGAGCUGAAAUCAGUCGAAGAUACCAGCUGGCUGCAACUGUUUAUUAAAAACACAGCACUGUGCAAACACGAAAGUGGACGUAUACGGUGUGACGCCUGCCCGGUGCCGGAAGGUUAAUUGAUGGGGUUAGCGGUAACGCGAAGCUCUUGAUCGAAGCCCCGGUAAACGGCGGCCGUAACUAUAACGGUCCUAAGGUAGCGAAAUUCCUUGUCGGGUAAGUUCCGACCUGCACGAAUGGCGUAAUGAUGGCCAGGCUGUCUCCACCCGAGACUCAGUGAAAUUGAACUCGCUGUGAAGAUGCAGUGUACCCGCGGCAAGACGGAAAGACCCCGUGAACCUUUACUAUAGCUUGACACUGAACAUUGAGCCUUGAUGUGUAGGAUAGGUGGGAGGCUUUGAAGUGUGGACGCCAGUCUGCAUGGAGCCGACCUUGAAAUACCACCCUUUAAUGUUUGAUGUUCUAACGUUGGCCCCUAAUCGGGGUUGCGGACAGUGUCUGGUGGGUAGUUUGACUGGGGCGGUCUCCUCCUAAAGAGUAACGGAGGAGCACGAAGGUUGGCUAAUCCUGGUCGGACAUCAGGAGGUUAGUGCAAUGGCAUAAGCCAGCUUGACUGCGAGCGUGACGGCGCGAGCAGGUGCGAAAGCAGGUCAUAGUGAUCCGGUGGUUCUGAAUGGAAGGGCCAUCGCUCAACGGAUAAAAGGUACUCCGGGGAUAACAGGCUGAUACCGCCCAAGAGUUCAUAUCGACGGCGGUGUUUGGCACCUCGAUGUCGGCUCAUCACAUCCUGGGGCUGAAGUAGGUCCCAAGGGUAUGGCUGUUCGCCAUUUAAAGUGGUACGCGAGCUGGGUUUAGAACGUCGUGAGACAGUUCGGUCCCUAUCUGCCGUGGGCGCUGGAGAACUGAGGGGGGCUGCUCCUAGUACGAGAGGACCGGAGUGGACGCAUCACUGGUGUUCGGGUUGUCAUGCCAAUGGCACUGCCCGGUAGCUAAAUGCGGAAGAGAUAAGUGCUGAAAGCAUCUAAGCACGAAACUUGCCCCGAGAUGAGUUCUCCCUGACUCCCUGAGAGUCCUGAAGGAACGUUGAAGACGACGACGUUGAUAGGCCGGGUGUGUAAGCGCAGCGAUGCGUUGAGCUAACCGGUACUAAUGAACCGUGAGGCUUAACCUU